CCGUCUUACGUAGCCUGGGCGGAGGCGGUGGGCUCCUGGUCCAGCGAGGGGCCUUCGGCGGACGAGGUGGCGGUGGCAACGUGGGGGCAGCAGGAUCUUCUUGGCGCUGCUGUGUUCCUUCUCCUCGUCGAUGCCCGCCUGGCGAGGGGUCUUCCCCCGUCGGAUGAGGGAUGAAUCCAUGAUGUCGUCUGUCACCAGGAAGAAAGCUUGGAGCUAGGAAGAGAAGAGUGGAAUGCGACCCUCAGGGCUCCUUGUCACACUGUCCCUUCCACCAGUAAUACAGCUGCUCCUGAGAAUCACUAAGCAAGGUGGGGAGGCCAGGGACUCGUUCUGGGUUGUGGGACUUUGGCAAGUUAUGUGACCUCGUGGGCUCACGCUUCCCAAGUAUAAACGGGACUGAAACACCUGAUUUCAGAUUAAGAGACGACAAGAGAUCUGUGACAUCUCUGGACAAGCAGCCCCCGACGGCCCCUGGUAUCAGGGAGACAAUGAAACCUCUUCAAAUACUGUACUCUUGCUAAAAACGUCAAUAAAUGCUUCCAAUAAGAUUUCUUCGUGCAACCUGACUGUGCAUGACUUCUGAAACAUGCUGUCCCCGGGCUGCUGACACAAGACAACGGUCAGGAACAAAUCUCCCUCUCAGGAAGCUCCUCUGGGGGUACAGAGCUAAUGGGACUGAACUGAUGUGUGACUCCUGGUGACUGUCACCCAUGGGUCUCGAACACCUUGAAGCACUCUUAAACAUUAGCAAAGAGUUCCCACUCUGAGCGCCUCCGUGAAGGCGGCGAAACGUGCUGGUCUCCCCUCUAGACUGAGCUCCUUGGAGGUGGGGGCGAUGUGUGACCACUCAGCAUUCCCAGAGCUAGCACAGCGCCCAUCCCAGAGUGGGUGUGUCUUAAGGUUCGGCCAAUAACUAAAUAAACGAAACGCCCUCAUGUUCCCCACGGCACUUCUUGCUGUCAAGCUACACAUUCUGGCUCCUUAAAACAGCUUUUCAAGACGUGACUUUUAAAUCUUCACCAAGUCCUGAUGUGUGUGCACUCUGGUGGGUCUGUACUGCUCAGAGGAAGCACCUGACUGCACCCACCGGCUCCGGUGUAGGCCAUGCAGAAAGGGCCAUGCCCCUCGUUCAGGCCAAGUCCCUGGGGAAGGAGGUUCCAUCUGCACCCCGACCUCUGCCCUCACCUUGGGGUGGGGCCUGGGCUUUCCACAGGGGCGCAUGUUUUAU